rnacentral:lncRNA from 1 species
CGGCCCAAUUUUUUCACGAAUCCUAUAAAUUGGGGGCUCAGCCGGGAUGGAGGUUUGCUUUGUGUCACACUUCUACGACCGUGCAAUAAUUAAGGAAAAAUAAUUAAAGUUGAACAUCUAUGAAAGAGAGGUUAGGCCGACAUAAGACGUACAGUGGCGACGUGAACGAUUAGCUUGGAAACUAGGGAAGAGGUGUUCCAUCCUCGUGUAAGGUAUACAGCAUUAGUUGAAGCCUGUAUUAAAGAUCGGGGUUGUAUUGGGAAUAGCAUCCUCGUGUAAGGUAUACAGCAUUUGUUAAAGCCUGUAUUAAAGAUCGAGGUUGGGAACAGUGGUUUGUCGGUUCGUUCGAAAAGAUCUAAUGACGAACAUUCGGGGUCGAAUGUAAAGUUGCAGGGGGGUAGAGUGUGGGAUGCAAGCACCUCCAAGCCAAACACUUAAAUAGGCA